CCUACGGGUGGCUGCAGUCGAGAAUCUUCGGCAAUGGGCGCAAGCCUGACCGAGCGACGCCGCGUGCGGGAUGAAGGUCUUCGGAUUGUAAACCGCUGUCGGAGGGGAUGAAAUGCAUGGGGGUACUCCCCUGUGUUUGACAGAGCCUCGGAGGAAGCACGGGCUAAGUUCGUGCCAGCAGCCGCGGUAAUACGAACUGUGCGAACGCUAGUCGUAAUGACUGGGUAGAAAGGGUGUGAAGGCGGCGGCGAAAUCCCCCGGCUCAACCGGGGAACUGCGCUUGAAACUGGGGUGCUCGAGGGAGGUAGGGGUGUAUGGAACUUCCGGUGGAGCGGUGAAAUGUGUAGAUAUCGGAAGGAACGCCGGCGGCGAAAGCGGUACACUGGGCCUUGUCUGACGCUGAGGCACGAAAGCUAGGGGAGUGAACGGGAUUAGAUACCCGUGUAGUC
rnacentral:rRNA from 1 species